CCUACGGGUGGCAGCAGUGAGGAAUAUUGGUCAAUGGACGAGAGUCUGAACCAGCCAAGUAGCGUGAAGGAUGACUGCCCUAUGGGUUGUAAACUUCUUUUAUAUGGGAAUAAAAUGUUCCACGUGUGGGAUUUUGUAUGUACCAUAUGAAUAAGGAUCGGCUAACUCCGUACCAGCAGCCGCGGUAAUAAGGAGGAUCCGAGCGUUAUCCGGAUUUAUUGGGGUUAAAGGGAGCGUAGGUGGAUUGUUAAGUCAGUUGUGAAAGUUUGCGGCUGAACCGUAAAAUUGCAGUUGAAACUGGCAGUCUUGAGUACAGGAGAGGUGGGCGGAAUUCGUGGUGUAGCGGUGAAAUGCUUAGAGAUCACGAAGAACUCCGAUUGCGAAGGCAGUUCACUGGACUGCAACUGACACUGAGGCUCGAAAGUGUGGGUAUCAAACAGGAUUAGAUACCCGUGUAGUC
rnacentral:rRNA from 1 species